AGCAAUCAUGGAAAAAGCUGCACAGGAAGAAAAAACCCACACUGUAGCAUUUUGUGUGUUUUUU
rnacentral:sRNA from 1 species